GAUAAACAUGUAAAUGCAUAAAUAUUACAUACAAUACUAAUAUCAAUAUCACUUAAUUACUCAUAUAUUCAAAUUGAAUCAUAAAACCAAAAAUUCUCUUAUUAAAUCAAAUUACCAAACCCAAAAAUCUUUUUAACAAACCAAAUUACCAAAUCCGAAAAUCUAAUUCAUCACACCAAAUCCAAAAAUCUCAUUCAUCCACACAAAACCCAGAUCUUCUCGAAGAACAUCAUCCCCAACGAACAAUCAGAUCAAUACAAUCAGAUCAACAACCAACUCCAACCUCCAAACAAAUCCUAACCUCUACCACCACCGUCUCGCCACCUCUCACCAUCAACAAGCCUUCAGUCAUCGGUUCACCACCAAGGCGACCCCGAUCCACGCGCCUCUACCCGUUGUCCCGACGAUAAUUCAACCCAGUCUGUCUUCUACCGUUCUUGCACCAGGAGGGAGCCCUAAAGUUAUAUCCUGCGAGGAUGACGACGCUGAGGCCGAUGGCUUUAGUGAUGGCGCGUUUUGUUCCCAGCCUGUUCCAAAAUCUACGUCGUCGUUUCAUGCGUUAAAUCCUUUCUCUACUGCUACCGGUCCAAUUACAUUGGAGAAUGAGUGCGAUCCGAGCAGAUCUAGGGUUAAUAGUUCAAUUGAAUGUCGUGAACGAAAGGGGUGAACCUAUUUAGGAGAGAGAAAGGGGUGAUGGUGAUGAUGAUGGUGAAAGGAAAAGAGAGGAGAAUAAGAUGCAGUAAUUACAUGAUGGAAUAUACUUAAAGAAAAGAGGUGGUUGAUAAUGAAGAUGAUGAAUCAAAAAAGAACGAAAGAACAGAUACAAAAACCCUGGAUUAAUGGAAGAAUCAAAUAUUAGAUAUAUCAUUUUAGGUUUAGAUAUAUUUUAUGUUAAUUUAUUAAUGUUAUUUAUUGUUUAACUAUUUUGCCCCUUAUUAAAUCAGAUUUGUUUAUUUUAUUAUUAAAAAACUAUUUUUUUUGCCACAUCAGCUUCUUAAGACCCCACACAAUUAGUUACGUC
rnacentral:lncRNA from 1 species